rnacentral:rRNA from 1 species
UGAGGAACAUGACCUUCGGCGGGGGAUAGCCGGCCCAACGGCCGGGUAAUACCGCGUACGACCACUCGGGGACAUCCCUAGGUGGUGAAAGCAGUAAUGCGCCGAUGGAGUGCCUCGCGGCCUAUCAGCUAGUUGGUGAGGUAACGGCUCACCAAGGCGACGACGGGUAGCUGGUCUGAGAGGAUGGCCAGCCACAUUGGGACUGAGACACGGCCCAGACCUCCCGUACGGGGAGGNAGCG